UACGUAGGGAGCAAGCGUUGUCCGGAAUUACUGGGUGUAAAGGGAGCGUAGGCGGGGAUGCAAGUUGGGUGUCAAAACUACCGGCUCAACCGAUAGUCGCACUCAAAACUGCAGCUCUUGAGUGAAGUAGAGGCAGGCGGAAUUCGUGGUGUAGCGGUGAAAUGCUUAGAUAUCACGAAGAACCCCGAUUGCGAAGGCAGCCUGCCGCAGCGUUACUGACGCUGAAGCUCGAAAGCGCGGGUAUCGAACAGG
rnacentral:rRNA from 1 species